GACGAACGCUGGCGGCGUGCCUAAUACAUGCAAGUAGAACGCAGUUGCGAACGGGUGAGUAACGCGUAGGUAAACAGCCUCAAAGCGGGGGAUCACUAUUGGAAACGAUAGCUAAUACAGAAUACAGUGAGAUGGACCUGCGUCGUAUUAGCUAGUUGGUGAGGUAAAGGCUAAACAGGGCGACGGUACACAGCCGACCUGAGACGGUGAUCGGCCAACCUGGGACUGUGACACGGCCCAGACUCCUACGGGAGGCAGCAGUAGGGAAUCUUCGGAAAUUGGCGGAAGUCUGACCGAGCAACGCCGCGUUAGUGGAGAAGGUUUUCGGAUCGGAAAGCUCUGUUGUUAGGGAAGCGUUAACUAACCAGAAAGGGACGGCUAACUACGUGCCAGCAGCCGCGGUAAUAC
rnacentral:rRNA from 1 species